rnacentral:rRNA from 1 species
GAUUCGUGUGUCUCUCUGAUGCAGUCGAGCGGAACGACAACAUUGACCCUUCGGGUGAUUUGUUGGGCGUCGAGCGGCGGACGGGUGAGUAAUGCCUGGGAAAUUGCCCUGAUGUGGGGGAUAACCAUUGGAAACGAUGGCUAAUACCGCAUAACGUCUACGGACCAAAGAGGGGGACCUUCGGGCCUCUCGCUUCAGGAUAUGCCCAGGUGGGAUUAGCUAGUUGGUGAGGUAAUGGCUCACCAAGGCGACGAUCCCUAGCUGGUCUGAGAGGAUGAUCAGCCACACUGGAACUGAGACACGGUCCAGACUCCUACGGGAGGCAGCAGUGGGGAAUAUUGCACAAUGGGCGCAAGCCUGAUGCAGCCAUGCCGCGUGUAUGAAGAAGGCCUUCGGGUUGUAAAGUACUUUCAGUCGUGAGGAAGGCGUUGAAGUUAAUAGCUUCAUCGUUUGACGUUAGCGACAGAAGAAGCACCGGCUAACUCCGUGCCAGCAGCCGCGGUAAUACGGAGGGUGCGAGCGUUAAUCGGAAUUACUGGGCGUAAAGCGCAUGCAGGUGGUUUGUUAAGUCAGAUGUGAAGCCCGGGGCUCAACCUCGGAACCGCAUUUGAAACUGGGCAGGCUAGAGUACUGUAGAGGGGGGGUAGAAUUUCAGGGUG